CCUACGGGAGGCAGCAGUGAGGAAUAUUGGUCAAUGGGCGGAAGCCUGAACCAGCCAAGUAGCGUGCAGGAUGACGGCCCUACGGGUUGUAAACUGCUUUUAUACGGGAAUAACGCGCCUUACGUGUAGGGCUUUGCAUGUACCGUAUGAAUAAGGACCGGCUAAUUCCGUGCCAGCAGCCGCGGUAAUACGGAAGGUCCGGGCGUUAUCCGGAUUUAUUUGGGUUAAAGGGAGCGUAGGCCGCAUGUCAAGCGUCCUGUGAAAUGUCCGGGCCCAACCCGGGCCUUGCAGCGCGAACUGGCGUGCUUGAGUCCGCGGAAAGUAGGCGGAAUUCGGGGUGUAGCGGUGAAAUGCUUAGAUAUGACGAAGAACCCCGAUUGCGAAGGCAGCUUGCUGCAGCGGAACUGACGCUGAUGCUCGAAAGCGUGGGUAUCGAACAGGAUUAGAUACCCCUGUAGUC
rnacentral:rRNA from 1 species